CAUUUUACCAUAGUUAAUUUUCUUUGUUCUUUGUUUUUUUUUCUGUUUUUGGUAACCAAGUGUUCUCUUCAGGUUGCCAAUUUUUUUUUUUUUGACAACAUCAACUAAAAACUAACUAGAAACUCUAACCGAUCUAGCAAGUCAAACCGGUGGGAUUGAAUCGACAUAAAGCAAAGCUGAAGGAGAACUCUUCGCACCGC
rnacentral:lncRNA from 1 species